UCCAAAGGUAGACUUUCAUUAAAGAUCAACAGAUGAGUAGGAGAAAAUACCAAAGUUACAUUGCGUCAAAGGAUUGUAAUAAAAGGAAUCAUCAAGCAGACUUUUUCUGGCUAACACAUGAGCUGCUUUGUUCCUGUUCCUGUUGACAUACUUAAAAACACAAGAAACAAAAUCUGAUUGAAGAAUGUAGAUAUCCUGAAUAAUGCCCUGAAUACUGAUUACACUUGGAGAGCCACUUUGAGCUACAGUAAUCACAUUUAAGAGUCUCCUUCCGCUAUAAUUUGUUUGAAACCUCUCGUUUUUGCUAGAACUAGAGCCUCCCUGCAUGCUAGUGCCUCUAAAAAGAGAGGAUCUAUAAUGUUUGGGAAUCGUUUGCAAGACAACUACAAGGCUUGCCCCCUGAAUCUCUGACUAAAGCAGCAAUCGAGCCCCUAUUAGAUGUUGAAUUCAUAGCUCUAUCAAUAUUGAUCUUAACAUAAUUAUGAGGAGGGGGCGACUAGUUUAUAGGAACCUGAGGGGGUGCCAUUUGGGGGGGAUGAGAUUCCUAUAGCAAAAAGAAAUCUUUACACAAGGAAAUUGCGGCUGAGAUGCUCUGGUGGUGCGUUUGGAUUUCAUUUUGGAAGAUUAGAUCAUUUCGACUCUUCCAAACACUCCACAAAAUAAAAGCCAUCAGGAACACUAACUUAUUAUCUUCUCCUUGAGAACAAAGAGAGUUGAGAAUUUGUGUCCAGAAAUCAAUUGAUGAAGAACCUUGCAGAAUUGAGGAUCGAAGCAUUAGAGGAGAGUGAAACCAAAUUUGG
rnacentral:misc_RNA from 1 species